rnacentral:rRNA from 1 species
GCACGAAAGUUAGCCGGGGCUUAUUCUGCGGGUACCGUCAUUAUCGUCCCCGCCAAAAGAGCUUUACAACCCUAAGGCCGUCGUCACUCACGCGGCAUGGCUGGGUCAGGCUUGCGCCCAUUGCCCAAUAUUCCCCA